GCGUGAGUGAAGAAGGCCUUAGGGUUGUAAAACUCUUUCAGUGGUGACGAUGAUGACGGUAACCACAGAAGAAGCCCCGGCUAACUCCGUGCCAGCAGCCGCGGUAAUACGGAGGGGGCUAGCGUUGUUCGGAAUUACUGGGCGUAAAGCGCACGUAGGCGGCGCAUCAAGUUAGGGGUGAAAGGCCUGGGCUCAACCUAGGAACUGCCUUUAAUACUGAUGUGCUAGAAUGCGGGAGAGGGUAGCGGAAUUCCAAGUGUAGAGGUGAAAUUCGU
rnacentral:rRNA from 1 species